rnacentral:piRNA from 1 species
UGGGAGAAGACUAUCCUUUACUGGGAGA